rnacentral:misc_RNA from 1 species
GUAUAUAUAUGUGCUUUAGAGAUAUAUUCGACAGGUGGAGGGCCUUAGCUAAUCCAUAUUCUAUAUCUCUCUCUUAUUUUUGUUUUAAUCUUGUCUAUUUUUUUCCCCUACAUAUCUUGCUAGAGUACCUUCCAUGGAAACUUCCCAGCCACUUUCUAUUGAGAGCUUUUCAUAUAGCUGGCUAGUAAACCUGAAACCAUCUCUUGAAAGCCUGGACAAUUCCCUGAGGGCCUCUCUUGAUGCAUCAGAUGAAGCUUCCUUCAUUGAGAUGGACCCA